rnacentral:rRNA from 1 species
AUGAACGCUAGCGGCAGGCUUAACACAUGCAAGUCGAGGGGCAGCGAGAUUGAAGCUUGCUUCAAUUGUCGGCGACCGGCGGACGGGUGCGUAACGCGUAUGCAACCUACCCAUAACAGGGGGAUAACACUGAGAAAUUGGUACUAAUACCCCAUAACAUCUCGAGUGGCAUCACUUGGGGUUGAAAGCUUCGGUGGUUAUGGAUGGGCAUGCGUUGUAUUAGCUAGUUGGUGAGGUAACGGCUCACCAAGGCGACGAUACAUAGGGGGACUGAGAGGUUAACCCCCCACAUUGGUACUGAGACACGGACCAAACUCCUACGGGAGGCAGCAGUGAGGAAUAUUGGUCAAUGGACGGAAGUCUGAACCAGCCAUGCCGCGUGCAGGAUGACGGCUCUAUGAGUUGUAAACUGCUUUUGUACGAGGGUAAACCCGAAUACGUGUAUUCGGCUGAAAGUAUCGUACGAAUAAGGAUCGGCUAACUCCGUGCCAGCAGCCGCGGUAAUACGGAGGAUCCAAGCGUUAUCCGGAUUUAUUGGGUUUAAAGGGUGCGUAGGCGGUUAGAUAAGUUAGAGGUGAAAUUCCGGUGCUUAACACCGGCGCUGCCUCUAAUACUGUUUGACUAGAGAGUAGUUGCGGUAGGCGGAAUGUAUGGUGUAGCGGUGAAAUGCUUAGAGAUCAUACAGAACACCGAUUGCGAAGGCAGCUUACCAAGCUAUAUCUGACGUUGAGGCACGAAAGCGUGGGGAGCAAACAGGAUUAGAUACCCUGGUAGUCCGCACGGUAAACGAUGGAUGCCCGCUGUUGGUCUGAAUAGGUCAGCGGCCAAGCGAAAGCAUUAAGCAUCCCACCUGGGGAGUACGCCGGCAACGGUGAAACUCAAAGGAAUUGACGGGGGCCCGCACAAGCAGUGGAGUAUGUGGUUUAAUUCGAAGCAGCGCGAAGAACCUUACCAGGGCUUGACAUAUACAGGAAUAUAUUAGAGAUAGUAUAGCUCUUCGGAGUCUGUAUACAGGUGGUGCAUGGUUGUCGUCAGCUCGUGUCGUGAGAUGUUGGGUUAAGUCCCGCAACGAGCGCAACCCCUAUUCUUAGUAGCCAGCGGGUAAGCCGGGCACUCUAGGGAGACUGCCAGGGAUAACCUGGAGGAAGGUGGGGAUGACGUCAAAUCAGCACGGCCCUUACGUCCGGGGCUACACACGUGUUACAAUGGUAGGUACAGAGGGCAGCUACCCUGCGAAGGGAUGCGAAUCUCGAAAGCCUAUCUCAGUUCGGAUUGGAGGCUGAAACCCGCCUCCAUGAAGUUGGAUUCGCUAGUAAUCGCGCAUCAGCCAUGGCGCGGUGAAUACGUUCCCGGGCCUUGUACACACCGCCCGUCAAGCCAUGGGAGCUGGGGGUGCCUGAAGUUCGUGACCGCAAGGAGCGACCUAGGGCAAAACCGGUAACUGGGGCU